UACGUAGGGGGCAAGCGUUGGUCCGGAUUUAUUGGGCGUAAAGAGCGUGUAGGCGGCCAGACAGGUCCGUUGUGAAAACUCGAGGCUCAACCUCGAGACGCCGAUGGAAACCGUCUGGCUAGAGUCCGGAAGAGGAGAGUGGAAUUCCUGGUGUAGCGGUGAAAUGCGCAGAUAUCAGGAAGAACACCCGUGGCUAAGGCGGCUCUCUAGUACGGUACUGACGCUGAGACGCGAAAGCGUGGGGAGCGAACAGG
rnacentral:rRNA from 1 species